AGGGCAAGUCUGGUGCCAGCAGCCGCGGUAAUCCCAGCUACCAUAGCGUAUAUCAAAAUUGUUGCAGUUAAAAAGCUCGUAGUUGAAGUUCUGCUGAAAGUAACCGGUCUGCUUUUAAUAAAAGUGGUAUCUUGGUAUGUAUUUAGCAAUGAUGUCCUUUGAAGUGUUUUUUACUUUAUUGUAAUAAAGCAUAUUCAGGACUUUUACUUUGAGAAAAUUAGAGUGUUUCUAGCAGGCUAACGCUUUGAAUACUGCAGCAUGGAAUAAUAAGAUAGGAUUUUAGUUCUACAUUAUUGGUUUUAAGAGCUAAAUUAAUGAUUGAUAGGGACAGUUGGGGGCAUUUGUAUUUAACUGUCAGAGGUGAAAUUCUUAGAUUUGUUAAAGACAAACUACUGCGAAAGCAUUUGCCAAAGAUGUUUUCAUUAAUCAAGAACGAAAGUUAGGGGAUCGAAGACGAUCAGAUACCGUCGUAGUCUUAACUAUAAACUAUGCCGACUAGAGAUUGGAGGUCGUCUUUAUAAACGACUCCUUCAGCA
rnacentral:rRNA from 1 species